AGGAGCCGCCCGUAACAAUUACGUGUGGGGCCAAGCAAACAUGAGGCAGCCACCCGCCGGCGCGGCAGUCCUGAUCUCAGCGGCAAAGGGGGAGGCCGGCCACAGUUUGCUUCAGCGCCCAGGAUGCAUCGGGCGAAGGAAGUGAUGAAGGUGUCAGAUGGCAGCCUCCUGGGGGACCCUGGGCGCACACCACUGAGCAAGAAGGAGGGCAUCAAGUGGCAGAGGCCGCGGCUCACCCGCCAGGCCCUGAUGCGGUGCUGCCUGGUCAAGUGGAUCCUGUCCAGUGCAGCCCCACAGGGCUCAGAUAGCAGCGACAGUGAGCUGGAGCUGUCCACAGUGCGCCACCAGCCGGAGGGACUGGAUCAGCUGCAGGCACAGACCAAGUUCACCAAGAAGGAGCUACAGUCCCUCUACAGGGGCUUCAAGAACGAGUGUCCCACGGGCCUGGUGGACGAAGACACCUUCAAACUCAUUUACUCCCAGUUCUUCCCUCAGGGAGAUGCCACCACUUAUGCACACUUCCUCUUCAACGCCUUUGACGCCGAUGGGAAUGGGGCCAUCCGCUUUGAGGACUUUGUGGUUGGCCUCUCCAUCCUCCUGCGAGGAACAGUCCACGAGAAGCUCAAGUGGGCCUUUAACCUCUACGACAUCAACAAGGACGGCUACAUCACCAAAGAGGAGAUGCUGGCCAUUAUGAAGUCCAUCUACGACAUGAUGGGCCGCCACACCUACCCUAUCCUGCGGGAGGACGCUCCUCUGGAGCAUGUGGAGAGGUUCUUCCAGAAAAUGGACCGGAAUCAGGAUGGGGUGGUGACCAUUGAUGAGUUCCUGGAGACCUGUCAGAAGAGAACCCUUGGGGGCCAUGACAUGUGCCUCCGCUGGCCUUAGCCAUCCGCAUCAGUCCCAGAGCGGCCUCUCGGGUGCCUCUGGCCUCCACCUGAGUGCAGCCAGGGAAGUCUGUCCAUCAGCGAGUCAGCAGCCCCCAGAUGUGCUUGCAGUCAGGCUCCGGGGCUGAAGAGAGGCUGUGCCUGACCAGCUGCCCCUUCACCCGGGGAGACAGAGUGGUCACUGCAGGGUUCUGAGUCCCUGGCAAGAAUCUGCUCAAGGAUGAGAACAUCAUGAGCUCCAUGCAGCUGUUUGAGAACGUCAUCUAGGACAUGUCAGUGGGGAGGGGUCCUUGAGUGGCCACCGCCACCUCUGCCUCCAGAGAAAUCUCAGUCCUGCAGGAGCAGCCUCUAUGAGAAACUUUUUUCUAAUAUAUUUGCAAAAAGUGAACAGUUUGCUCUGGACACACACACACACACACACACACACACACACACACACACAGAGCCGUUCCUUUGGGCUGGUAGAGGGGGUGCAGAGGUCAGGGAGGGGCUGAGUCUGGCUGGGAGCUGGGUCCAGGUGAUGAGACCGAACCACCCGGCCAGCCCCCGACCAGCCCCGGCCAGCAGUGGGGUGGGGCUGCCUCUGGAGUGGGUGCUGAAAGAGCCAUGUGUGCAGGCUGCUGGCCGCGGGGUGCCGCCAGGAAAGCACUCAAGAUCCCCUACAGGAAUGGGUCCAGUCUCCAAAACAAAGGCCCCGCUGGGUGAGUCCCCUCGCCCCUCUCUCCCGCCACCCUUCUUUCCCACCGCACAUCAGCCAGGUUGCGGGGGCUGCUCUGGCCUUCUCGUCCCCCAGCUACUCCCCUGCCGCCUGACUACACUCCCAGAAAGCUUGUCACCACAGGACACUUGGCUGGCAGUAGGGUCAAGAUAGUUGGGACGAGGAAAGAGGUAGUAAUGGAGACAGCCUGCUGUUUUCUGGAAACACUUCCCUGGGGUCCCCGGAUGCCUGCCACUCCAUUGGCAAGCUCCAGUGGUAAGGGGCCACUGGACUCUCUCCAUCCUUUCAAGCUCAGGGAUUGGGUUUCUUGGUGGAGAAUCUUAGGGGAACUGUCUGCCAAGUCCACUGAAAUGGAAGAAGCCUUCCCUUGCCCCAGUCCUAGCUCAGUGGGAAGGAAGUGGAUGGGGCUGCCCAUACCCCUCAGGCCUAGAGCAUUCAACCCCAAGGUCAUCAUACGUUCUAUGAGGAGGUCACAAGGAUCAGGGACUGGCAGCCUGGGAGCCCAGGUGGCAGAGCAGGCCUGAGAAGGGGCUUCUCCCUCCUUUCUUGUCAGCUCCUGUCUCCCUUGGCCCCCAGCUUGGAUGAGCUCCCCCUACCACUUUCUAGUUAGGGUCCUAGAGCAAUGUGGCCAUCUCUCUAUACACAGGCUCACCCAACCCCAUACAAAAAGCACAAGCACCCAGAGCAGCUAAGGUUGCAGCCUACAAAGGGAGCCAAGGACACUCUGUUUUUCCAAGAUCGGGCCCUCCUAGAGGGCUGAGGCCUGGGUCACGGUGGCCCCCAAUACAGGUAGCUCUGGAGAAGAAGCAUGGGGAUCUGUUCUGUGCCUCAGAGCCGUGCGGGCUCAAAGCCCAUCCCCAGCCCAGCCCAGCCCAGCUCACCAACAUUCAAAAGCACAAAUCGUAGGGACCCCUUGUUUGGGUUCUGCUCUGAGGAUGGAGGCUGAUGUCAGCCUGAAGGCAGAGCCAAGAGUGAGGGCUGAGGGGCCUGAGGCUGAGUGGUAGGUCAACAGAAACCCCCAGGAAAGAGAGAGAGUCUCCUUUUAUCUGCCCAGGCCUCCCCAAGAAGGAACCCAGUCCCAGGUAGCGUGGGCCUGAGGAACAUUCCCAUACGAUACAUUCCACCGGCUGCCACCCACUCUGCUCAGGCCUGGCCCAGGGGUGAGCAGGGCCCUCAAAGGAAAGGUAGAAUGGCGGAGGCCAUGGAGAUUGGCCUGGUUUGGCCACGGGGACCCCUUGGCACCCACACACAGGUGGUCCUCUCCCUCAGAAUUAUACUGACACCCCAUCUCCAGUUUGACUGGGGGGGGGGUCUUUCUUCCCUCCUCCAGGAGGGCAUCAGCUUUCCCUGGCUCAGGGAUCUUCUCCCCCUCUGCCCACCCCCACCCCCAGCCCAGCCCUCCCAGCUGGCGUAGCUGUGCUUGUAAGGGGUCGAAGCCAUAGGAGAGGGUCACCACCAUGCCCUUGCCCCUCUUGGCCUGGGGCCAGACUGGCUGCACGUCCAAGCAGGAGGGGUCUGUCUCCCACCCUGGGAUGCAGACUGGCCGCAUGUCUGCAUGGCAGAAGCGUCUCCCUUGGGUGCAGCCUGGGAGGGUGGUUCCUGUUCUCAGCGCCCACCAAUAUUCAGUCCUGUAUAUUUUAAUAAAAUAAACUUGGCAAA